UACGAAGGGGGCUAGCGUUGCUCGGAAUCACUGGGCGUAAAGGGUGCGUAGGCGGGGCUUUAAGUCAGGGGUGAAAUCCUGGAGCUCAACUCCAGAACUGCCUUUGAUACUGAAGAUCUUGAGUUCGGGAGAGGUGAGUGGAACUGCGAGUGUAGAGGUGAAAUUCGUAGAUAUUCGGAAGAACACCAGUGGCGAAGGCGGCUCACUGGCCCGGUACUGACGCUGAGGUGCGAAAGCGUGGGGAGCAAACAGG
rnacentral:rRNA from 1 species